AAUAAUAGGUUACGAAUUCACAUAUCUUCUGAUGUAAUUGCAUAGAAUUUACACACACGAAUCAAAUGUCAACAAAAAUAGAGGUACAACUUCUCAAAAAAGCACAUGUGGAUCAACUAAAUAUUCACAAUUUGAGACCAUUUUCUACAAUGUUUUGCUUGACCUUAGGUUGUAAGAUGCUCUUCUUACCCUGCACUGGACAUAACUGAACUUGUAAAAUGUGCAAGUGUGAACCGUUUGCUACAAUAAGGUAACAAGAAACAGGAAUAAUAUACAUAUGAUAUGAUCAGCAUAAUCUAUAUGGUAUCUCAUAUUCUCGCAUUAACAUAAGUAUAUAUAGCCAAAUUCUUUUUUUCACAGCAAAGUUAAAUAAACUGACAGCUAUAUAGACAUGAUAACUGAGUGGUUUCUUCUAAAAUCUUGUGACAAAUUUGAUACAAACACAACAAUUGACAACAUCCAUUCAUCUAUCAGAACUAUCAGUUAUUAGAGGUUUCUUCAAGUUAAGCUCAAACCAUGAUAUCGACAGUAAGUGCAACUUCUCAAUGAUGCAUAACCAGAAGAAUGUACUCUGUUUCAAAAUGCAAGACGUUUUUUGACACUGCCACAUUUUGAGACAGGUUAGUAUAACAAGAAAAUCAGGGGAGUGCCUUUGAAUAAAAUUAUCAAGAAGGAAACAGAAAUGUAGUAACAUUCAUACUGAACAAAAAUAGCAGCUAGGGGCUCAACACAGAUAAGAUGAUCCUGGUCAUACUGGACAAAGAAUGGUAUACAAACAGUAUGAUAAGAUGAAAGAAUAUAAAGGGCAUCAUUACUGCCUAAUAAAACAAAGAGCUAUGCUGCUGAAUAUCACAUUAAGAUAAAAGGGCAACAAACACCAUCUCUAUAUAUAACUGUAUCUGGUCUUACCUGUUAGAAUAUUCUCUAACUCCAUCAGCAUACAUAAAAAAGCAAAUAUGUUUUAUUUGCUUAAGGCUUGAGCAAUUCAUCAAUAACAUCACUACACUGGAAAACAUUUCCAAUUCACUAGUAAUAAUAUAAGCUGCUUACACUACACGACAUUUUCAACAUUGAUAUUCCAAACAUCCAUGCAUAUAUGUCUCUGCUUAAGCAUAAUUAAUUACGUACCUGAUAAUAGAAGUUAAGCCUUCUUCCAAUUAUAUUUUAUUGCUCUGCGUCAGAGUGAAAAUUAGGUGAUCCAUGUGCCUUCAUGUACACAAGGUCAGAACAAAAGUCAAGAUCUGUCAUAAAAAAUCAAGUUUACUUGUAUGCAAACAUGUCAUUGCAUAAAAAAAAGCAUGGCAAUGCACUUGAUACAUACACAAGCAAGAAUAAAGAUGCAAGACAGCAGGAUCUGUGAGGUGGAUCCAUGGAGAGUUCGUCCAGGAUGCGUCUAAGAAAAAUUAUACUGGUGAGCUCCAUGGAGAGUUCGUCCACCCGAUACAUAAUACUCCAUGUCCAUGGAGCCACCACUCACCUGGUCUCUCAUCAUUCAGGAUGCGUCUCUCAACAUAAAGUAGCCGCCGGAUCUGUGAGGGGAUGGUGCUGGAUCUUCUAGGGUAGAGGGGAGGGGAGGAGUCAGCGUUGUCCUCACUGCUUACCGUCGGUGGUGACAACGUGAGGAGGGCGCGCUCGGGCUUGCGGUGAGGCCGCGCGUCGCCGCCAAGGAGCACAAGGCGUGGGUCGCUUGACCGGCGAGAGGAUAGAGAAGGUACAAGAAACGAGGGGAUGUGCAGUCUCAAGGGUGGAUGCGCCGGCCAAAAUGGAGCGGCGGAGUGGCACGACGAAGGAGGCGACCGAUGCUGCUGCUGCUGCGGCGGCGAGGGUUAGGUCUGGCGGCGGCGAGAUGGGGUGGAGACGAGGGAUGGGGCUUCUGAUUUGGGGAUCGAGGGUUUCUAACCACUCCGUAUUUCUUUUUCUACGGGCCUUUUCCU
rnacentral:lncRNA from 1 species